rnacentral:rRNA from 1 species
AACGCUGGCGGCAGGCCUAAUACAUGCAAGUCGAGCGCGCCCUUCGGGGUGAGCGGCGGACGGGUGAGUAACGCGUGGGAAUAUGCCCUUCUCUAAGGAAUAGCCUCUGGAAACGGAGAGUAAUACCUUAUACGCCCUUUGGGGGAAAGAUUUAUCGGAGAAGGAUUAGCCCGCGUUAGAUUAGGUAGUUGGUGGGGUAAUGGCCUACCAAGCCUACGAUCUAUAGCUGGUUUGAGAGGAUGAUCAGCCACACUGGGACUGAGACACGGCCCAGACUCCUACGGGAGGCAGCAGUAGGGAAUCUUAGACAAUGGGGGCAACCCUGAUCUAGCCAUGCCGCGUGUGUGAUGAAGGCCCUAGGGUCGUAAAGCACUUUCGCCAGAGAUGAUAAUGACAGUAUCUGGUAAAGAAACCCCGGCUAACUCCGUGCCAGCAGCCGCGGUAAUACGGAGGGGGUUAGCGUUGUUCGGAAUUACUGGGCGUAAAGCGCACGUAGGCGGAUUAGUAAGUUAGAGGUGAAAUCCCAGGGCUCAACCCUGGAACUGCCUUUAAUACUGCUAGUCUUGAGUUCGAGAGAGGUAAGUGGAAUUCCGAGUGUAGAGGUGAAAUUCGUAGAUAUUCGGAGGAACACCAGUGGCGAAGGCGGCUUACUGGCUCGAUACUGACGCUGAGGUGCGAAAGUGUGGGGAGCAAACAGGAUUAGAUACCCUGGUAGUCCACACCGUAAACGAUGAAUGCCAGACGUCAGCAAGUAUAC